GCGGUGGGACACCUAAUCUUCCGAGAUUCGCAGGGAUCUACACUCCAAAUGACCUUCCAAACUACCCCCUACCAUGCCAAAGUCGCCUUCCCAAAUUUCUCAUUUCAAGCAUUAUUAUUAUUAUAUAUUAAAACUAUAAUAUCGAUAAACGAAAUGGAAUAGACUGAUCCAAGAGUCCAAGACCCUUUGGCGACGAAUACUGCAGUCCUCCUCCUCUGCCAGCUUCGCCUUGGAAGCCCUGCUCACUCCAUCAGGCCCCCAUUCAAAGUUUCAAAGAGAACCACAGCAAGCUUUCCUCUAAUUCUUCCAUCUUGAAGGAUUCCUAAAGCGCAAGUUCUCUAACUUUAUCAGAAACUAAGGAGCUUCCAUUGAGCUAAGAUGGCUGACUGGUCAUGGUCCGAACCAACAGGUAGGUUUGUACUUUUUUAACUUUGUAUCAAAGCAAAAGAGCAACAGCGGCUGUUGCUGCUUUCCAAGGCUUGCUCUGUGCCACUAAACCUUAUCUGGGAAGGUAUACUUGUACCAUUGGAAAUAUAUGGAGUAGAGAAUGCCAAAAAAAAUACCUACUGAAAAUUUAUCACCUCAAUAAAAACUUAGGCUUGCACCAAAAAACUUUGAAGGCUUGACAGAAAUUUUAUACAUUGUGCAUUUUUAAGUAAAAUGUAUGUCUGUGCUAAAUUUUCGAAUACAAGCUUGAUGUCAUGCAUCAGGUCUAAUUGAGUUGGAGAUGAGUAAGACUA